rfam:Euryarchaeota archaeon TMED132 MHASMcontig_750682, whole genome shotgun sequence.
ACGUGGGCCACCUCUCCCCAACGAGAGGCGAAUAUCUGAAAGGGUAACAGUU